rnacentral:rRNA from 1 species
UACGUAGGGGGCUAGCGUUGUCCGGAAUCAUUGGGCGUAAAGCGCGUGUAGGCGGCCCGGUAAGUCCGCUGUGAAAGUCGGGGGCUCAACCCUCGGAUGCCGGUGGAUACUGUCGGGCUCGAGUACGGAAGAGGCGAGUGGAAUUCCUGGUGUAGCGGUGAAAUGCGCAGAUAUCAGGAGGAACACCGAUUGCGAAGGCAGCUCGCUGGGACGUGACUGACGCUGAGGCGCGAAAGCGUGGGGAGCAAACGGG